AACAGCAGUGGCGUUUAUGCAAAACCAGACAGCCGAUUGACGCCGGCGCCAUCGACGGUUGUCCCGAGGACUCCAGCCGCCCGCCGUCUGGUUCGAGGUGGAGGUGGUUGAGUUUCCGUUUCAAGAUCUAACUUUCCGAUUGGCACUUGGCAGUAUGGUUGUAUGCCUAUAACUUCUGGACUUUAUGAACUCUAUGCUGAAGUUGAACAACUCCUCUCCUGGGCAUAUACUGAUGUGGCAGACAGUUUUGAGGAAGGUGGAAGAACUCUCGGCAUAUACUGGUCUGGCAAGCGGUUGAGGAAAGAUAAUUAUAACAGACCAUAGUGUAAUGCAAUCAGCUUUAUGUUGAUGAGGCUAAUCCAAAAAGGUAAUAAAAUUUUGGACAACAAUGUCAUUAUCCGGCAAACAAAGUGAGAUAGAAAUGGAAUUGUUCUGAAUCUAUGAAAAAGUUACAUUGGAAAAAGUAAUGCGCCAGUCCAGACUCCACUAACUUUUGCAAAGUUAGAGAUAGAGAUGUAAUUGCUGUAAUUAAUUAUACGCCAAGCUUGGAUUUGUUUGGAGGACAACCACCUUAUUAUCCGGGCAAAAAGAUUGACAGUGAAAUGGCGUUUUGAAGAAAUCAAAAAGUUUUAUUGGGAAACGUGAAUUGCCACUAAGUUUUGCAGAAUUAGUGGUUUGCUGUGUAAUUAUAUGCCAAAUGCUAUGGAAUUAUGGCAGAAUUGUAAUUUGUAUAAAAGCUGAUGGCAAUUGAUAAUAAAAAUAAAUCUAAAUGUUUGAUAAAAAAA